CUUUCAGGUCUUCUUUCUCCUUUUCUGUCUUUUCCUUGGUGGUACUGUGGAUUGAACUUAGGAUCUUUGCAAUGUUGGAGGACAGAUGAGUCAGCGAGGCUUCACAGUGGCUUAGAGCCUCACCUCUGGCUGAGGCUCUCAGGCAAGCAUCAGAGCCACGAGGGUGUGUACCCACGUGGAUGGAUGGAUGGAGACUGACACAUACCCAGCUCUGGUGGUGGCAUCGUUUCUCUCACAGUCAUCUUCCAGUGCACCCCUCAAUGUAAUUCCAGAUUCUGUGUAUUACAAGCAUGAAUUAAAGGCCUGAUAUGAUUUC